CGGGUGAGUAACGCGUAAACAACCUGCCCUUCGGAUGGGGACAACAGCUGGAAACGGCUGCUAAUACCGAAUACGUUCUUUUCAUCGCAUGGUGAGAAGAAGAAAGGACGGCCUCUACACAAAGCGGUCGCCGAAGGAGGGGUUUGCGUCUGAUUAGCUAGUUGGAGGGGUAACGGCCCAACAAGGCGACGAUCAGUAGCCGGUCUGAGAGGAUGAACGGCCACAUUGGGACUGAGACACGGCCCAGACUCCUACGGGAGGCAGCAGGC
rnacentral:rRNA from 1 species